ensembl:lncRNA
AGUAGGUGAGAGGUGAGGGGCAACAGUAGGUGAGAGGUGAGGGGUAACAGUAGGUGAGAGGUGAGGGGCAACAGUAGGCAGGAGGUGAGGGGUAACAGUAGAUGAGAGGUGAGGGUUACAGUAGGUGAGAGGUGAGGGGUAACAGUAGGUGAGAGGUGAGGGUUACAGUAGGUGAGAGGUGAGGGUGAGAGGGAACAGUAGGUGAGAGGUGAGAGGGUACAGUAGGUGAGAGGUGAGGGGUUACAGUAGGUGAGAGGUGAGGGGUGAGAGGGAACAGUAGGUGAGAGGUGAGGGUUACAGUAGGUGAGAGGUGUGCGGUUAAGGUAGGUGAGAGGUGAGGGGUUACAGUAGGUGAGAGGUGAGGGGUAACAGUAGGUGAAGGUGAGAGGUAACAGUAGGUGAGAGGUGAGGGGUAACAGUAGGUGAGAGGUGAGGGGUAACAGUAAGUGAGAGGUGAGAGGUAACAGUAGAUGAGAGGUGAGAGGGAACAGUAGGUGAGAGGUGAGAGGGUACAGUAGGUGAGAGGUGAGGGGUUACAGUAGGUGAGAGGUGAGAGGUUACAGUAGGUGAGAGGUGAGGGGCAACAGUAGGUGAGAGGUGAGAGGCAACAGUAGGUGAGAGGUGAGGGGCAACAGUAGGUGAGAGGUUACAGUAGGUGAGAGGUGAGGGGCAACAGUAGGUGAGAGGUGAGAGGCAACAGUAGGUGAGAGGUGAGGGGCAACAGUAGGUGAGAGGUGAG